UUUUAGCACAUGAAGAGAGAAUUAAAAGGUCAAAGGAGAAGAAUCUUGAGCAUGCCUUUCAAACCAAGGUGGAGGUCUCUAGUAAAGGAAAAUUUGGCGAAGACUCUUCUGGACAAAUGCAUUUUGGUAGUGGCUGAGGUAGAGGUGGCUACCGUGGUCGUGGAAGAGGUCGAGGAAGGUCUGAUAUGGGGCAUUUUAACAGACAGGAUAACAAAGGAAUGUAGUGUUAUAAUUGCAACAACUACGGUCAUAUAGCACGAAAUUGCCCGGAGAAGAUUGAGAAAGCCAAACAACAAG
rnacentral:lncRNA from 1 species